rnacentral:rRNA from 12 species
GGGUUGUGAGGUUAAGCGACUAAGCGUACACGGUGGAUGCCCUGGCAGUCAGAGGCGAUGAAGGGCGUGCUAAUCUGCGAUAAGCGCCGGUAAGGUGAUAUGAACCGUUAUAACCGGCGAUACCCGAAUGGGGAAACCCAGUGUGAUUCGUCACACUAUCAUUAACUGAAUCCAUAGGUUAAUGAGGCGAACCGGGGGAACUGAAACAUCUAAGUACCCCGAGGAAAAGAAAUCAACCGAGAUUCCCCCAGUAGCGGCGAGCGAACGGGGAGGAGCCCAGAGCCUGAAUCAGCAUGUGUGUUAGUGGAAGCGUCUGGAAAGGCGCGCGAUACAGGGUGACAGCCCCGUACACAAAAGCGCAUGUGCUGUGAGCUCGAUGAGUAGGGCGGGACACGUGGUAUCCUGUCUGAAUAUGGGGGGACCAUCCUCCAAGGCUAAAUACUCCUGACUGACCGAUAGUGAACCAGUACCGUGAGGGAAAGGCGAAAAGAACCCCGGCGAGGGGAGUGAAAAAGAACCUGAAACCGUGUACGUACAAGCAGUGGGAGCACAGGUUUACCUGUGUGACUGCGUACCUUUUGUAUAAUGGGUCAGCGACUUAUAUUCUGUAGCAAGGUUAACCGUAUAGGGGAGCCGUAGGGAAACCGAGUCUUAACCGGGCGUUAAGUUGCAGGGUAUAGACCCGAAACCCGGUGAUCUAGCCAUGGGCAGGUUGAAGGUUGGGUAACACUAACUGGAGGACCGAACCGACUAAUGUUGAAAAAUUAGCGGAUGACCUGUGGCUGGGGGUGAAAGGCCAAUCAAACCGGGAGAUAGCUGGUUCUCCCCGAAAGCUAUUUAGGUAGCGCCUCGUGAAUUCAUCUCCGGGGGUAGAGCACUGUUUCGGCUAGGGGGCCAUCCCGGCUUACCAACCCGAUGCAAACUGCGAAUACCGGAGAAUGUUAUCACGGGAGACACACGGCGGGUGCUAACGUCCGUCGUGAAGAGGGAAACAACCCAGACCGCCAGCUAAGGUCCCAAAGUCAUGGUUAAGUGGGAAACGAUGUGGGAAGGCCCAGACAGCCAGGAUGUUGGCUUAGAAGCAGCCAUCAUUUAAAGAAAGCGUAAUAGCUCACUGGUCGAGUCGGCCUGCGCGGAAGAUGUAACGGGGCUAAACCAUGCACCGAAGCUGCGGCAGCGACACUGUGUGUUGUUGGGUAGGGGAGCGUUCUGUAAGCCUGUGAAGGUGUGUCGUGAGGCAUGCUGGAGGUAUCAGAAGUGCGAAUGCUGACAUAAGUAACGAUAAAGCGGGUGAAAAGCCCGCUCGCCGGAAGACCAAGGGUUCCUGUCCAACGUUAAUCGGGGCAGGGUGAGUCGACCCCUAAGGCGAGGCCGAAAGGCGUAGUCGAUGGGAAACAGGUUAAUAUUCCUGUACUUGGUGUUACUGCGAAGGGGGGACGGAGAAGGCUAUGUUGGCCGGGCGACGGUUGUCCCGGUUUAAGCGUGUAGGUGUGUGUUCCAGGUAAAUCCGGUUCACUUUAACACUGAGGCGUGAUGACGAGGCACUACGGUGCUGAAGCAACAAAUGCCCUGCUUCCAGGAAAAGCCUCUAAGCAUCAGGUAACAUCAAAUCGUACCCCAAACCGACACAGGUGGUCAGGUAGAGAAUACCAAGGCGCUUGAGAGAACUCGGGUGAAGGAACUAGGCAAAAUGGUGCCGUAACUUCGGGAGAAGGCACGCUGACACGUAGGUGAAGUGAUUUACUCAUGGAGCUGAAGUCAGUCGAAGAUACCAGCUGGCUGCAACUGUUUAUUAAAAACACAGCACUGUGCAAACACGAAAGUGGACGUAUACGGUGUGACGCCUGCCCGGUGCCGGAAGGUUAAUUGAUGGGGUCAGCGCAAGCGAAGCUCCUGAUCGAAGCCCCGGUAAACGGCGGCCGUAACUAUAACGGUCCUAAGGUAGCGAAAUUCCUUGUCGGGUAAGUUCCGACCUGCACGAAUGGCGUAAUGAUGGCCAGGCUGUCUCCACCCGAGACUCAGUGAAAUUGAACUCGCUGUGAAGAUGCAGUGUACCCGCGGCAAGACGGAAAGACCCCGUGAACCUUUACUAUAGCUUGACACUGAACAUUGAGCCUUGAUGUGUAGGAUAGGUGGGAGGCUUUGAAGCGUGGACGCCAGUCUGCGUGGAGCCGACCUUGAAAUACCACCCUUUAAUGUUUGAUGUUCUAACGUGGACCCGUAAUCCGGGUUGCGGACAGUGUCUGGUGGGUAGUUUGACUGGGGCGGUCUCCUCCUAAAGAGUAACGGAGGAGCACGAAGGUUGGCUAAUCCUGGUCGGACAUCAGGAGGUUAGUGCAAUGGCAUAAGCCAGCUUGACUGCGAGCGUGACGGCGCGAGCAGGUGCGAAAGCAGGUCAUAGUGAUCCGGUGGUUCUGAAUGGAAGGGCCAUCGCUCAACGGAUAAAAGGUACUCCGGGGAUAACAGGCUGAUACCGCCCAAGAGUUCAUAUCGACGGCGGUGUUUGGCACCUCGAUGUCGGCUCAUCACAUCCUGGGGCUGAAGUAGGUCCCAAGGGUAUGGCUGUUCGCCAUUUAAAGUGGUACGCGAGCUGGGUUUAGAACGUCGUGAGACAGUUCGGUCCCUAUCUGCCGUGGGCGCUGGAGAACUGAGGGGGGCUGCUCCUAGUACGAGAGGACCGGAGUGGACGCAUCACUGGUGUUCGGGUUGUCAUGCCAAUGGCACUGCCCGGUAGCUAAAUGCGGAAGAGAUAAGUGCUGAAAGCAUCUAAGCACGAAACUUGCCCCGAGAUGAGUUCUCCCUGAGACUUAGAGUCUCCUGAAGGAACGUUGAAGACGACGACGUUGAUAGGCCGGGUGUGUAAGCGCAGCGAUGCGUUGAGCUAACCGGUACUAAUGAACCGUGAGGCUUAACCUUACAACGCCGAAG